AGAGUUUGAUCCUGGCUCAGAUUGAACGCUGGCGGCAUGCUUUACACAUGCAAGUCGAACGGCAGCACGGGGGCAACCCUGGUGGCGAGUGGCGAACGGGUGAGUAAUGUAUCGGAACAUGUCCGGAAGUGGGGGAUAACGUAGCGAAAGUUACGCUAAUACCGCAUAUGCCCUGAGGGGGAAAGGAGGGGAUCGCAAGACCUUUCGCUUUCGGAGUGGCCGAUAUCAGAUUAGCUAGUUGGUGAGGUAAAGGCUCACCAAGGCGACGAUCUGUAGCUGGUCUGAGAGGACGACCAGCCACACUGGGACUGAGACACGGCCCAGACUCCUACGGGAGGCAGCAGUGGGGAAUUUUGGACAAUGGGGGCAACCCUGAUCCAGCCAUGCCGCGUGAGUGAAGAAGG
rnacentral:rRNA from 1 species